AGACGUGAGGGUGAUCUGGCUGUCACAUCUGUUACCCCACUGAUCACCAGUGUUGAUCUGGCUGAUCUGACUGGCUACUAGAUGUCCCCUUCCUCCCUCACUGCUCCACGUGCAUCCUUCCUGAAGCCACGCUUGGUCAAAGAGCAUAGGCACCUUCAGGAAAGAGAGGAGGACUGCUCCUCAGUCAAAGGUAUACAAGUAGAUGUACUCCGCUGCCAGCACUUUCAAACAAGUUCUCAAAAAGGGGGUGGGACUGGGAUUGUUUUACCUUUCCCCCCCGGAAUUCUCUGAUCCACAUGAAUUUUUUUCUUU
ensembl:misc_RNA 7SK 7SK RNA